UACUAAGUUCGUAAUAGUGUGGGACUUCAAGUUGCUCAGCUAUGCAAAUUCUUUACCACUUUCCAAAGCUCAGAACAAAUUACAAAUCCCUAAAGCAAUGAUCCUCAAACGCCUCAUCAACCCUCCUCUUCCCCCAAUUUCAUCUUCUUUCACCGUUUAUCGCUUCCACGUUUUAGCUUCUGCUUCAAUCUCCCACACUCCUCACUCUCUAUCCGACGUCGUUUCCUCCUUUCACCGCACCAUCAACGACCCCAAUUCGACACCCUCCGAACCAGCAUGCAACUCUCUCAUCGACGACCUACGCAAGGCACGACAAUACGACGUCGUUGUGUCGGUUUACCGCAAGAUGGCUUCCGCGUGCGUUUCGCCCUGGCACACUUCUCUCACCGUGUUAAUAGAAAGCUUCGUCAACACCCAUCACCCAAGUUUUGCUGUUGGAGUCCUUGGCCUAAUGAUAAAACGCGGCUUUCGGGCUCACGUCUAUAACAUGAACCUCGUGUUGAAGGGUUUUUGCCGGAGUGGUCAAUUCGACAAGGCAAUGGAUUUGUUGUCUCAAAUGAAGAAAAAUAGUGAUUAUGUGGCUCCUGAUAAUGUUACUUACAAUACCCUUAUAACUGGAUUGUGUAAAGCUAAAAGAUUGGUGGAAGCUAGGGUUUUGUUUGAUGCAAUGAAGGUUGGGGAGAGCAAACCCAAUUUGGUGACAUAUAGUGUUUUGAUUGAUUGUCUUUGUAAGAAUGAUCAAGUUUGUGAGGGGUUGGUUUUGUUGGAGGAGAUGGAGAGGGAGGGUUUGAAAGCUGAUGUGUUUCUGUAUAGUUCUCUAAUCAGUGUCUUUUGUGGCAAGGGUGAUGUUGAGAGGGGGAUUGAACUGUUUGAUGAUAUGAAAAGGAAGAAGGUUAGUCCCAAUGUGGUUACAUAUAGUUGUUUGAUGCAUGGUCUUAGCAAGAUUGGACGGUGGCGAGAGGCGUCUGACAUGUUGAAGGACAUGACGGCACGAGGAAUUCGGCCGGAUGUUGUUACUUACUCGGUUUUGGCAGAUGGGCUUUGCAAGAAUGGGAGGGCGGAGGAUGCCAUUAAGGUGUUGGAUUUGAUGGAGCAGAAGGGGGAGGAGCCAAGUACUUUCACAUACAACGUUGUUGUGAAUGGAUUUUGUAAGGAGGAUCGUGUGGAGGAUGCAUUUGGGAUUGUGGAAAUGAUGGCGAAGAAGGGGAAGAAGCCUGAUGUGGUAACUUAUAAUACGUUGAUGAAAGGACUAUGUGGAGCUGGCAAAGUUGAUGAGGCGAUGGAUCUUUGGAAUUUGUUGGUGAGCGACAAGUUCCAUAUGAAGCCGGAUGUCUUCACUUUUAAUUAUUUAAUUCAGGGACUUUGCAAGGAAGGACAUCUUCGUGAUGCUGUGAGGGUCCAUUCUACUAUGGUUGAAAUGGGGUUCCUAGGUAACAUAGUAACUUAUAAUGUUUUGAUCGAGGGUUAUCUAAGUGUUCGGAAACUUAUUAAGGCGUUGGGACUCUGGAAAAAUGCUGUAGACUCUGGAUUUUCUCCCAAUUCAAUGACUUACAGAGUUUUUAUUCUUGGUCUGUGCAAAAUGCAGGUGCUGAAUAUUGCAAAAGGACUUUUUAUUAAAAUGAAAGAUUCUGGGAUUAAACCUACAGUAGUUGAAUACAAUGCACUAAUGGCAUCUUUGUGCAGGGAAGAUAGUCUGGAGCAAGCUAGGAGUUUAUUUCAAGCAAUGAGAAAUGUGAAUCAUGAUGUUGAUGUUGUCUCCUUUAAUAUAGUAAUUGAUGGAACCCUCAAAGCGGGAGAUACUAAACAUGCCAAGGAAUUGCUAUCGGAGAUGCUUAACAUGGAUUUGAUCCCCGAUGCCGUAACCUUUUCUAUAUUAAUAAAUAGGUUCUCAAAACUUGGGCUGUUGGAUGAAGCCAUGUCCCUCUUUGAGAAAAUGGUCUCGUCUGGUCAUGUACCAGAUGGUGUUGUAUUUGAUUCUUUGCUAAAAGGCUGUGGUUUAAAGGGAGAGAUAGAAAAAGUCAUUUCCUUGCUUCAUCAAAUGGCUGAUAAGGAUGUUGUUCUGGACUCAAAAUUAACAUCUACCAUCUUAGCAUGCCUUUGUCACAUGUCAAGAGAUCUUGAUGUAGAGAAGAUUCUUCCAAAUUUUUCACAACACACUGAACAUACAUCAAAAGGAACAACAAUUAAAUGUCACGAGUUCUUGAUGAAGCUGAAUGAUGUUCAUCCAGAACUCAAAUUAUUUGUUGCACGAUAGUGUGUGUUUUCAGGUGCAUGCUACCAUGGUACUAUAAGUAUGUGAGUAUGCUAGGAGGCACUUGUGUGGUCUUGGAUUUUGAUCCAUUACCUGUUUUGUGCCUGAUCGGGUAUUUGAGAAGGGUUCAUAUAUUUGUUAAUCUUUGAUAAGCUGUAACCUCAUUUCUGUAUACAAGUAUUAUUCAAAGAUGGAUUGGCAACAUGACGAUUAUGGAGUUUUGAGGCCAUGUGCAUUUCAACAAGUUGCCAUUUUAUGAUAAAGAGUUGCAAGUGUAAAGUUCUGCAUCAUGGUAUACAAUGCCCCAUUUGAUACUGAUACGUAACCAAUCCAUGAAUGAGAUUUGUAAAGUGUCUUCUUACAGGUUUACUUCUAUCACUGUCUGCUUUUGAAGUAGUCAAGAAUGUCAGAAUGACUUCCCUCUCCCGACAGUGGAGGGAUAACAGUCUGCCGCAGUUACUCUGUAUGCCUAGUGAGCCUAGUUUACUUAGACCACCACCGUUUUACCUUUUUAAUGAACUCACUGUCGUAAUCUCAAACUAUUGUUAACAAAUAUUUUUCUUCAAUUCAUAAGGUUAGUUACGAUGUGCAUUGUUUAUUGAUCUUCGAUCCAUACUUUUCUGCCUUCUUCUGUGAAUAACAUAGAACAAAUAAACUAAAACAUUGAUUUGGGAAUACUGAAUAGUUAAAGUUAGCUUAAAUGUUCAUUGUUAGGUAGAGCUAUUGCUACAUACUGCUGAAUUCUCGUGCCCAAGGGUGGACAAAAUAUGUGUUUGGACCAAUCUGAUCCAGUUUUGCACUGCUCUGGUCCAUUAAAAAUUCAUUUCCUUAAAUCUGUUAUCUAUCUCCUUAUAUAUUUCACAAGUUUUCCAAACCAAAUUCAAAACCAUCAACUCCUUCCCAAUCCCAAAAUCUGAAACUCAUGAACCCCUUCCUGAUCCCAAAUAAACCCUAAAUCCUCUUAUCUCUUCUUUUUUUAUAAUUGAUCCAAACCUGAUGGUAAAUCUAAUUGGUAAUAUGAACGUAUGUUAUGUGUUUCUCCGUUUCUCCUUCUGUUCCUUUUUCUAGUUUUAAUUUUUUUGUUGGAUUUUGUUUGUGCAGAAUGCACGGUGGUGCCACCGCUGUGCUGGUUGUUGUGGCACCGAAAUUCCCACCAUUGCAUAAUCAGGUUGCUAUUAUAAGGUUUGUUUCGUUCUUUCAGUGUAGUUACUUAUUAUUUGGGGUUACUGUAGUUUCUUUAUGUGUUGUCUCUUUUCAUUCAUUUCUGUUGCUGUUAUAAGGUUGGUACAUUUCACUUGGAGAGCUCCUCAGAAAAAGUGCUAGCCAGAGAUUGAAUGGUUUUUUAUACAAACAUACAUUUGUUAUUCACUACAAUUACUUAGCAUUUAGAAAUAUAUCAUUAUGUCCAACCAAUAUAUGCACUAAUGUAUAAGGUUUUUUAUAUUGUCAUUGAUAUUUGAUAAUUUAUUAACCUUCAUAAGAAUUACCUUGAAAACCACAUUAAGAACGUUUUGACAGAACCAUUAAACCGUAUCCUUAUUAUUUCAAUGAUUAGAUGACCUCUUAUUAAAGAGAUAUUUCACAGAACUUUUGGAUUAUCAUGGAUAAACACUUACCAGAAAUGAGAGCAUCGUAGAACUCAUAAUUCUCUUCCAGCUCUGCUGGUUUUCCUUUGGACUGCUGCAAGUGGGUUACUACUUCAGGCUUCAAAUAAACCCCCGAUUGAAUAGAAUUUCACAUGGAUAAAGUGGAUCUCCAUGUCUUAAGUUUACUGCUUCAAUUUUUAACAUGGAUGAAAACAUCAGCAUACACCUGUUGUUCUGUAGCAGUGAUCUUAGAUGGAUAAGGGAUUUCAUCAACCAACACCCGUUUUGUACCAACUGAAAUUAAAUUCACAAAACAAUCAAUAUUUCUCUUACAUACAAGCACCAAAGAUUAGAAUCAAUAAACAACAUUCAGCAAAUCAUUGGGUUGAGGGAGAGAGAUCUUACUAGUUAAAUUUGAUGGAGAUGGAGAUGAAGAGUAGAAGAAGAGUGGAGAUGAACAAACUGGCGUGGCAAAAAGUGAGUUAAUUAGAGUAGAUAUUGAAGGGUAUUUAUUUAGACCCUAUCUUCCAGACAAGGAUGAAAAUAAUAAGGUGGUAGGUAGCUAGAGCAAGUUGGUCUUACACCUAAGUUAGUCAAUUGCUAACAAUUAGAGUGGACAAUAGAAAAAUUUUUGAUGCUGAAAAGACAAACUAUGGAUGUGUGUUAAAGUUGUUGUUUAAUGAAUAUAAAGGUCAAAUAGAAAUAAAAGAUGAUUAAAACACUCUUAAUCAUUAAAUUGUAUGCUUGUGUUGAAUAGGACGAUAAUGUUCCACUUAAGUUGGCCGUAUUGUUAAACAUGCUAUACCUGAGAUAUUGUUUGUGUUGACUCUUCAGGCCUUUAUAGUUUGUGCUUUUAGAAGCGGUUCAGUGGGUUAAGGGAUAAACUAUUUAAACUUCAUUUGUAUUGAAUGUUGGGAGAUGGAACAAAUACUUAAUUGACAGUCAACCUAUUGUGUUAGUUUCUUUUGUUUUGCUAAGCUUGUAUCCUUUUUGCAGAGGAAAUUUUCUAGCCUAUUCUACAUACCGUGAGAACCAGAGGAGUAAUUGUGGACAAGUGGUUCAUGAGAAUUCUUUGGGCUUUUUUUUUUUUCUUUCUUCUCUUUGUUUUAAACGAAUUACAUGUGCUGGAAGAUUGUUCAUAUUCAACUAAAUUAACUUACAAAUUCAGAAAGUAAUUUGGAGAACCAAAUUGGAGUUCACUGAUGAAGUUCAGAAAAAAAAAAAUUGAGUCCAACUUUGAGAGGUUGUCAAACUCAUAGAGGUGUUUGUAUGUGAUGGCAUCCUUCAUCCCAAACAUUCUCCUUUUCCUAUGUUUGAUAUUUAUCCUUUAUAUAUGCUUUAUGAAAUUCCUA